UACGGAGGGUGCGAGCGUUGUCCGGAAUCAUUGGGCGUAAAGGGCGCGUAGGUGGCCCGGUCAGUCCGUGGUGAAAGCGCGGGGCUCAACCCUGCGUCGGCCAGGGAUACUGCCGCGGCUGGAGCACUGUAGAGGCAGGCGGAAUUCCGGGUGUAGUGGUGAAAUGCGUAGAGAUCCGGAGGAACACCAGUGGCGAAGGCGACACGCUGGGCCGUACCUGACGCUAAAGCGCGACAGCAUGGGGAGCAAACGGG
rnacentral:rRNA from 1 species